rnacentral:rRNA from 1 species
CAGUCGCCGCGGUAAUACGAAGGGUGCAAGCGUUAAUCGGAAUUACUGGGCGUAAAGGGCGCGUAGGCGGCGGCCAAAGUCAGGCGUGAAAUUCCUGGGCUCAACCUGGGGGCUGCGCUUGAUACUUGGUUGCUUGAGUGGGGAAGAGGGUCGUGGAAUUCCCAGUGUAGAGGUGAAAUUCGUAGAUAUUGGGAAGAACACCGGUGGCGAAGGCGGCGACCUGGUCCUUGACUGACGCUGAGGCGCGAAAGCGUGGGGAGCAAACAGGAUUAGAUACCCCAGUAGUCCCUGUCUCUUAUAC